AGAGGCAAGAAGAGGGUAUAGCCUGGCAAAGUUAUCCCAAGAAAACAAUAUCAAAGUUGCAAUAUAUGGAGCAAAGAUCAAACAUAGUUUAGAAAAUGACUAAAGAUGUUCAAUGUUUUCUAUGCCUUGUCUAAGUAUUCAAGAAAUCUCAGAACAAAGCAUUACUGUUGCAAAAAAGAAGCUAAACUGCAUAUACAUAUAUACAGAUUAAAUCAAGAUUGAUAAAGAAAAUCAUCAAAUGGGUAAAUAAAUUUCAAAAUCCUCACUAACUAUUAGCAGUCUUCUAGAUGUGAUGGUUUAGUAUGAUGAAUUACAGCUAGCUUGAAGGCAUUUGAAUGAUGAAAGAAAAUGUCAAAAUAUAAAAGAUAAGAAACUUAUCUUUUUUUUCAGACUUUAUACCAAGCUAGUUUUCAUGAGACAUGACUGCAAAUCUGUAUUUCUGCAAAUCAAUUAUCCAAGACCUAAAGUCCAAGCUUAAA
rnacentral:lncRNA from 1 species